rnacentral:lncRNA from 1 species
GAGCUCUCUCCAGAGGGACACACCAAGGAAAGGCCAUGUGAAGACAUUGUGAGAAGGUGACCAUCUGGAAGCCAGAAAGAGGGCUUCACCAGAAACUGAGCCGCAGUGACACCUUGAUUAAAUCUAAAGUCAGAGAAUGAAUGAGUUCACUCGGGAGCAGACAGAGAGGAAGAAAGAAAAGCAGUAGAAAAAAGAUUAACAGAGCUGAAGGAGCAGACAAUGAUGGAUAUUGUCAAGUAGGACAUAGGCCAGAGAAUCUGCGUGUAGGAGAGAAAGCUCUAUGGACUACACAGUGGAAAAAAGUCAGCCUGAAGCCAUAG